AAUCAACGCUGGCGGCGUGCCUCAGACAUGCAGGUCGAACGAUUAAGACUUCCUUCGGGAAGUGUAUAAAGUGGCGCGCGGGUGAGUAACACGUAAGUAAUCUACCUUCGAGUGGGGAAUAACAUCGGGAAACCGAUGCUAAUACCGCAUAAUGCAGCGGCAUCGCAAGAUGACAGUUGUUAAAGGAGCAAUUCGCUUGAAGAGGAGCUUGCGGCAGAUUAGCUAGUUGGUAAGGUAAUGGCUUACCAAGGCUACGAUCUGUAUCCGGUCUAAGAGGACGGUCGGACACACUGACACUGAAUAACGGGUCAGACUCCUACGGGAGGCAGCAGUCGGGAAUUUUGGGCAAUGGGCGAAAGCCUGGCCCAGCAACGCCGCGUGAGGGAUGAAGUAUUUCGGUAUGUAAACCUCGAAAGAAUGGGAAGAAUAAAUGACGGUACCAUUUAUAAGCUCCGGCUAACUACGUGCCAGCCGCCGCAGUAAUAC
rnacentral:rRNA from 1 species